rnacentral:misc_RNA from 1 species
GGCCAACCCACCCCCCUACUCCUCCACUCGUCAACGCACCUCCAGCUAGCCUCCCCUGCUGUCGUUGCCCCUCUAGCUGGCUAGAAAAACGCCCAAAAGUCCCUCCCUUUUCUCACGCGCCGAUUCAACUUCCUUGGUCGAUUUCUGCCAAUCCAGCCACCAAUCGGACCUGGUUCAGUUCCCUUCGUGUUCUACUCUUUGAGAGCUUUCCAUAGACACCUAUUUUAUCAAUUUUCAUUGAGUGGUUUAUGCGAAUUAAGCCCAGAAAAUUUUAGCCCAUUUCGACUUUU